rnacentral:rRNA from 1 species
UACGAAAGGUGCAAGCGUUGUUCGGAAUCACUGGGCGUAAAGCGCACGUAGGCGGUUCUUUAAGUCAGGGGUGAAAUCCUGGAGCUCAACUCCAGAACUGCCUUUGAUACUGGGGAUCUCGAGUCCGGAAGAGGUGAGUGGAACUCCGAGUGUAGAGGUGAAAUUCGUAGAUAUUCGGAAGAACACCAGUGGCGAAGGCGGCUCACUGGUCCGGUACUGACGCUGAGGUGCGAAAGCGUGGGGAGCAAACAGG